AGAGGGUGAGAAGCGCUGGGCCGGACCAGAACUGUCUUAGCUUUUCCCUCUGCGGCUGCUCUGGUUGGUUACUUUGAGCCUGCCUCCUCAGCGCCGCAGGAGAGACUUAACAGCAAAAAUGACUGUGUCCUGAGUUCAGCCCCCACUGCUCUGGGAGCUUCCCCCUGGUUUCUGCACCUGAAGAAUGUCAUCCCAGCCGAAGGUUCUUAGGAGCGGGGAGCGACAAAGAAAAACAAAGAAAAGCAGACCUGAAAAUUGGGACCUGGGAGAAAUGUAAGACAUGUGCUUAAUUUGAGGCACAGACCAAAAGAAGCUGAGUCUGAGGGCCCUCUAAAAGUGUCCUCGUGCUUGGGCAGCUUACAUUCUUGGCGGCAGUAGUGUUAUGAAGAGGACCUUCGGAGCCAGAGACGAGUGCUCUAAACCAGUAUCAUGGCUCCAGUUCCUCUGACAAGGAUUCACAUGGGGUUGCAAUUCUGACUGUGCUGGUGAUGCUGGUUCCAGGUCCCUCAGGAACCCCUCCCCCAGUCUGGUCUGCCCUUGAACUCUAUACUGGCCCCAGGGUAUCCCAGGAUUGUCA
rnacentral:lncRNA from 1 species